UGGCUUUGGCAUCGAUGAAGAACGCAGCGAAAUGCGAUAAGUAAUGUGAAUUGCAGAAUUCAGCGAAUCAUCGAAUCUUUGAACGCACAUUGCACCUAUUAGCAUUCUAGUAGGUAUGCCUGUCCGAGCGUCAUUUCAACCCUCAGGAGGCUCCGGCCGACUGGUGUUGGGGCCCCGCGGCCAGCCGCGGGCCCCUAAAGUCAUCGGCGGUGCCUGCCAGCACUCCGGGCGCAGUAGCAACCCUCGCCCUGGACGUCUGGCGGAGCGCCUGCCGCUAAGCAGCCUCGCGGCACACUCAAGGUUGACCUCGGAUCAGGUAGGAAUACCCGCUGA
rnacentral:misc_RNA from 1 species